UCAGAUUGAACGCUGGCGGCAUGCCUUACACAUGCAAGUCGAACGGUAACGGCACUUCGGUGGCUGACGAGUGGCGGACGGGUGAGUAAUACAUCGGAACGUGCCCGAUCGUGGGGGAUAACUACUCGAAAGAGUGGCUAAUACCGCAUACGAUCUACGGAUGAAAGCGGGGGAUCGCAAGACCUCGCGCGGACGGAGCGGCCGAUGGCAGAUUAGGUAGUUGGUGGGAUAAAAGCUUACCAAGCCGACGAUCUGUAGCUGGUCUGAGAGGACGACCAGCCACACUGGGACUGAGACACGGCCCAGACUCCUACGGGAGGCAGCAGUGGGGAAUUUUGGACAAUGGGGGAAACCCUGAUCCAGCCAUGCCGCGUGCAGGAUGAAGGCCUUCGGGUUGUAAACUGCUUUUGUACGGAACGAAAAGACUCUUUCUAAUACAGAGGGUCCAUGACGGUACCGUAAGAAUAAGCACCGGCUAACUACGUG
rnacentral:rRNA from 1 species